AUCCCUGUUGGGCAAUGGAUAACGCGUUGGACUUUUAAUCCAAAAGUCGUGGAUUCGAAUCCUACCUGGGAUG
rnacentral:tRNA from 1 species